rnacentral:tRNA from 1 species
UCCUGGUUAGCUCAGUUGGUAGAGUGCUCCACUGGAAAUGGAGAGGCCCCGUUCGAUACCAGGGC